AUUGAACGCUGGCGGCAUGCCUUACACAUGCAAGUCGAACGGCAGCACGGGAGCAAUCCUGGUGGCGAGUGGCGAACGGGUGAGUAAUAUAUCGGAACGUGCCCAGUCGUGGGGAUAACGUAGCGAAAGCUACGCUAAUACCGCAUACGAUCUACGGAUGAAAGCGGGGGAUCGCAAGACCUCGCGCGAUUGGAGCGGCCGAUAUCAGAUUAGGUAGUUGGUGAGGUAAAGGCUCACCAAGCCGACGAUCUGUAGCUGGUCUGAGAGGACGACCAGCCACACUGGGACUGAGACACGGCCCAGACUCCUACGGGAGGCAGCAGUGGGAAUUUUGGACAAUGGACGCAAGUCUGAUCCAGCCAUUCCGCGUGCAGGAUGAAGGCCCUCGGGUUGUAAACUGCUUUUGUACGGAACGAAAAGGUUUCUAUUAAUACUAGGAGCUCAUGAGUACCGUAAGAAUAAGCA
rnacentral:rRNA from 1 species